UAAUUCAGGGCUACAAUGUUUAUGACGU
rnacentral:piRNA from 1 species